UACGUAGGGUGCGAGCGUUGUCCGGAAUUAUUGGGCGUAAAGGGCUCGUAGGCGGUCUGUCACGUCGGGAGUGAAAACACGGGGCUUAACCCCGUGCCUGCUUCCGAUACGGGCAGACUAGAGGUAUGCAGGGGAGAACGGAAUUCCUGGUGUAGCGGUGAAAUGCGCAGAUAUCAGGAGGAACACCGGUGGCGAAGGCGGGUCUCUGGGCAAUAACUGACGCUGAGGAGCGAAAGCGUGGGGAGCGAACAGG
rnacentral:rRNA from 1 species